rnacentral:rRNA from 1 species
AGUAAGUGCGAUUGUAUUUAGCGGCCGCCGUUCGAUCUUGUGUCAGCAGCCGUUAUGAUUCCAGCUCAAUAGCGUAUAUUAAAGCUGUUGCGGCUAAAAAGCUCGCCGUUGAACCUUGGGCAUGGUUGGCCGGUGCGCCUCACCGCGUGCACCGUCCCGUCCGGGCCUUUCCCUCUGUGGAACCCCAUACCCUUCACUGGGCGGACUGGGGAAACAGGAUAUUUACUUUGAAAAAAUUACAGUGCUCCAGGCAGGCCUAUGCUCGAAUACAUUAUCAUGGAAUAAUAAAAUAAGACGCGCGGUUUUAUUUUGUUGCUUUAUAUUACCGCCGUAAUGAUUAGUAUCCCCAGUCGGGGGCAUCAGUAUUCAACUGUCAGAGGUGAAAUUCUUGGAUCAGUUGAAGACUAACUACUGCGAAAGCAUUUGCCAAGGAUGUUUUCAUUAAUCAGGAACGAAAGUUAGGGGAUCGAGGACGAUCAGAUACCGUCGUAGUCUUAACCAUAAACUAUGCCGACUAGGGAUCGGACGGUGUUAUUCAUGACCCGUUCGGCACCUUACGAGAAAUCAAAGUGCUUGUCUCGCUGGAAAAAAAAAAAACACAAGGCUGAAACUUUAAAGAAAUUGACGGAAGGGCACCACCAGGGGUGGAGCCUGCGGCUUAAUUUGACUCAACACGGGGAAACUCACCAGGUCCAGACACAAUAAGGAUUGACAGAUUGAGAGCUCUUUCUUGAUUUUGUGGUGAUGUGCAUGAUCGUUCUUAGUUGUGGGUGACUUGUCUGCUUAAUUGCGAUAACGACGAGACUUAACUGCUAAAUAGCCGCAUGCUCAGCAGUGCGCUGCCUCCUAGAGGACUUUCGACUCAAGCCGAGUAGUCAGCAUUACAGUCUUGAUGCGUAGAUGUUCUGGCCGACGCGCGCUA